GGAUGCGAUCAUACCAGCACUAAAGCACCGGAUCCCAUUAGAACUCCAAAGUUAAGCGUGCUUGGGUGAGAGUAGUACUAGGAUGGGUGACCUCCUGGGAAGUCCUUGUGUUGCAUUCC
rnacentral:rRNA from 1 species